AUGCUCGCUUGGGCAGCACUUAUACUAAAAUUGGAAUGGUGCAGAGAAAUUAUGGCCCCCGCACAAGGGUGAUACAUGAACUCAGGUAACGUUCUAUACUUUU
ensembl:snRNA U6 U6 spliceosomal RNA